rnacentral:rRNA from 1 species
CCUACGGGAGGCAGCAGUGAGGAAUAUUGGUCAAUGGGCUUACGCCUGAACCAGCCAAGUCGCGUGAGGGAAGACUGCCCUAUGGGUUGUAAACCUCUUUUGUCAGGGAGCAACGCCGGCUACGUGUAGCCGGACUGAGAGUACCUGAAGAAAAAGCAUCGGCUAACUCCGUGCCAGCAGCCGCGGUAAUACGGGGGAUGCGAGCGUUAUCCGGAUUUAUGGGGUGGAAAGGGUGCGUAGGCGGAAUGCCAAGUCAGCGGUAAAAUCGCGGGGCUCAACCUCGCUCCGCCGUUGAAACUGGCGUUCUUGAGUGGGCGAGAAGUAUGCGGAAUGCGUUGUGUAGCGGUGAAAUGCAUAGAUAUCACGCAGAACUCCGAUUGCGAAGGCAGCAUACCGGCGCCCAACUGACGCUGAAGCACGAAAGCGUGGGUAUCGAACAGGAUUAGAUACCCGGGUAGUC